GAGCACGUAGGUGGGUUUGUAAGUCAGACGUGAAAGCCUUCUGUUCAACGGAAGAAUUGCAUCUGAAACUACAAACCUUGAGUGUAGGAGGGGAGAAUGGAACUUCUGGUGGAGCGGUGAAAUGCGUAGAUAUCGGAAGGAACGCCGGCGGCAAAAGCGAUUCUCUGGCCUAUUACUGACACUCAGUGUGCGAAAGCUAGGGGAGCAAACGGGAUUAGAUACCCCGGUAGUCCUAGCCGUAAACGAUGGGCACUAAGUAGAGGGGU
rnacentral:rRNA from 1 species